rnacentral:ncRNA from 2 species
AUUGACAGCUUUCACCUGGCUUUCUGGAGUAAACAGUGAAUUUAUUGGUGUUCUAGAAUCAUUAAAUUCGCUAGAGAAUUUGCUAGUGAAUUUGGAUUGCUUUCUGAACAUUUUUCUGUUCUUCUGUAGUGCUCCCUCUGAGCAUUGUAGAAGUGUUCCAGCACCCCUAUGAAGACCACAUUCAUUUUGUCAGGGAGCCUUUAGUCCACUAUCUUGAAUCAUACAUGAAGGAUCUAGUGAUACACUUUUUUAAAGAUUUGUAUUACCAACUUCUCUGCUCAUACUGCAUUAGUACUAGCAGGUGCAUUGGAUAUUUAUUGACUCCAAAACUUGAAUGUAUUUUGUAAGUAAGUCCUUUUAAAUUUAAAUUAUACGCUAAAUUCUAGAAGUCUCCGUUAUCUGGAAUGUGAAAGGCUUUUUGUUUUUAGGGAAAAUGGAGCUGAUAGUAUCCUGGAUCUUGGAUUAGUAGACUCCUCAGAAAAGGUACAGCAGGAAAACCGAAAGCGCCAUGGCUCUAGUCGAAGUGUAGUAGAUAUGGAUUUAGAUGAUACAGAUGAUGG